rnacentral:misc_RNA from 1 species
CAAAUACCAAAGUAAAAGUUGUAUGAUUCCUCUUCAGUUUUCACACUUAACUUCAAGAAGUUUCAUGAAAGAAUAGAAGUUUAGCCAUUGAUUAUUUGGCAAUGCAAUAAAGGAAAUCUAACAAGAUCCGUGAUUCCAACAGAUGACCAAUCUGUGUCUACAUUGCCACAAAAAAGAUAACAUCCCAUCAGUUGCAAAAGCAACAGCCACA